rnacentral:rRNA from 1 species
AUACAUGCAGUCGAACGCUUCUUUCCUCCCGAGUGCUUGCACUCAAUUGGAAAGAGGAGUGGCGGACGGGUGAGUAACACGUGGGUAACCUACCCAUCAGAGGGGGAUAACACUUGGAAACAGGUGCUAAUACCGCAUAACAGUUUAUGCCGCAUGGCAUAAGAGUGAAAGGCGCUUUCGGGUGUCGCUGAUGGAUGGACCCGCGGUGCAUUAGCUAGUUGGUGAGGUAACGGCUCACCAAGGCCACGAUGCAUAGCCGACCUGAGAGGGUGAUCGGCCACACUGGGACUGAGACACGGCCCAGACUCCUACGGGAGGCAGCAGUAGGGAAUCUUCGGCAAUGGACGAAAGUCUGACCGAGCAACGCCGCGUGAGUGAAGAAGGUUUUCGGAUCGUAAAACUCUGUUGUUAGAGAAGAACAAGGACGUUAGUAACUGAACGUCCCCUGACGGUAUCUAACCAGAAAGCCACGGCUAACUACGU